AAAUCAGUUAUAGGGCAUGUCUCUCUUGGCACGUGAUAGCGAUAUUUCAUUUGAUUUAGAGCUACAAACUUGCUAAAGGAGAGCUGCCCUACGACUGUUUA
rnacentral:pre_miRNA from 1 species